rnacentral:rRNA from 1 species
ACCCGGUCUCGUCCGAUCCGGGAAGUCAAGCAACAUUGGGUCAAGUUAGUACUUGGAUGGGUGACCGCCUGGGAAUACUUGAUGUUGUAGACAA